rnacentral:rRNA from 1 species
UACGAAGGGGCUAGCGUUGUUCGGAAUCACUGGGCGUAAAGGGCGCGUAGGCGGCUUUAUAAGUCGGGGGUGAAAGCCUGUGGCUCAACCACAGAAUUGCCUUCGAUACUGUAUGGCUUGAGACCGGAAGAGGUAAGUGGAACUGCGAGUGUAGAGGUGAAAUGCGUAGAUAUCGAGAGGAACACCUGCGGCGAAGGCGGGUUGCUGGGCUGACACUGACGCUGGAUGCGGCGAAAGCUAGGGGAGCGAACGGG